rnacentral:lncRNA from 1 species
CUAAAAGGAUGUCUCAAUUCCACUGAAUAAGCAUUUUCUGAUGAAAAUCCACGCUCCUUAAAGGUUCAACAAGCUCUGGCCACUUCAGCCUCACACAUCUCCUUUGCUGCUUUGGCUCUCAUCCAACAUUUGCAGCCUGUCCUACUCUGUUUAUAUUGGAUACUCCACUAUAAUGCUGUCUGACACUGUGUUUUAGUCUGAUUUUCCUCUCCCCAUGGUUGGUAAGAACUGCAGAAUUGCUCCCUAGAAGCCAGUGAAUAUAAAGUGAGUGUGAAGACAGCCAAAACUCUGCCUGCUGACUCCAAGUGUGACGUGUUUACCCUUUGCCUGUUGUAGCUGUGUGCUUCCAGCUGCCAUGUGAACACAGCUCACUAGUGGCCCAUUAUGAGAUGAAAAAAUAUUUCAUGAUGGAUUGAAUUUAUUUUGGGUGCACAUUCAGAGCUCAGAAUGGCAUAACAGGGCUAUCUUAUAUGAAUCUUAAUGCAGUGAGGGCAGGUUGCCAUGAUUGUAUUUGAAUUUCAGUAUUAAUUAUUUUUUGGCUUUGUGAACAAGCAUCCACUUGAAGAGUGGAAUAUCACAUCUAAACAGAGGACAAAAACAGAUUUAAUACAAAUAUUCUGAAGAACAAAGGCCACAUACAUAAACAAAGCUGGGUCCUUGUUCAAAACCAGAGACAAGCAGCAGCACCAGACCAGGGGGACACGGCAGCACAGCCACAGCGCGUCCUCCAAAACCGACCGGAUUAGACUUUACAUCACCAGAGAUCUAAUUGCUGCUGGGGUUAUUGAUUAUUCCUGGCCUUUCAAACUGCUUCAGAGUUGAGUAUUUUAAGUAUAUUUUAAAGUUUACAUUGUUUGUAAAUAGGGUAGAAAAUUAUCAAAGUAGAGGCAGCAGAACAAGACAAAUCUCUUGUCUAGCAGCACAGUCUGAUCAAUACAAUUAUUAAACUGAGGUGUAUUUGUCUCCAGCCACAUAAUUUUAAUGUUAAAUUAACCCAGAAAGAAGAUACAUUCUUUUUAAGGACAUUGAAUUUUCUUUGUCACAGCAAAUAAAUAAGGUCACAAACACA